rnacentral:rRNA from 1 species
GUUUGAUCCUGGCUCAGGAUGAACGCUGGCGGCGUGCCUGAGAUAUGCAAGUCGAACGCUCCCGAAUUUAUCGGGAGAGUGGCGGACGGCUGAGUAAUGUACAGGGACCUACCCUAAGGAGGCGAAUAGCUGCUUGAAAAAGUGGGUAAUACGCCGUACGCCCCGAUUUUAAUCGGGGGAAAGGGAGUAACUUCUCGCCUUAGGACGGACCUGUGUCCUAUCAGGUAGUUGGUAGGGUAAUGGCCUACCAAGCCGAUGACGGGUAGCUGACCUGAGAGGGUGGUCAGCCAGAGGGGUACUGAGACACGGACCUCACUCCUACGGGAGGCAGCAAUCAGGAAUAGUUGGCAAUGGGCGAAAGCUGACCACGCGACGCCGCGUGCGGGAAUAAGUUCAGACGAACGUAAACCGCUGUGGCAGAGGAGAAAAUUCCGAUUGAAUCGGAACUGAUAGUACUCUGCUAGAAAGGGGCCGCUAACUACGUGCCAGAAGCGUCGGUAAGACGUGGGCCCCAAGCGUUAUCCGGUAUUACUGGGUGUAGAAGGUCGCGUAGGCGGUUUAGCAAGUUAUCCUUUAAAUAUCCUUGCUCAACAAGGAAAAGGGGGAUAAUACUGCUUAAACUUGAAAUUCUUCAAGGGAGACUGGAAUUUAGGGAGGAGGGGUGAAAUCUGUUGAUACCCUAAAGAACACCAGUGGCGAAGGCGAGUCUCUAGAAGAACUUUGACGCUGAGGCACUAAAGCUAGGGGAGCAAACCCGGAUUAGAGACCCGGGUAGUCCUAGCCCUAAACGCAUGCUUGCUAGCUGCACCUUAACUAAGAUUUUAUUAGUUUAAGAUGUGGCGUAGGUAACCCGUUAAGCAAGCCACCUGGGGAGUACGACCGCAAGGUUAAAACUCAAAGGAAUUGGCGGGGAGGCACACAACCAGUGGAACAUGUGGUUCAAUUCGAGACGAACCGAAGAACCUCACCAGGGUUUGACAUCCCUCUUUUUCCUGCUCUGGAAACAGAGAAAGGGUCUAUCGCAAGAUAGAAAAGGAGGGACAGGUGCUGCAUGGCUGUCGUCAGCUCGUUCCGUGAGGAGUACCCUUAAGUGGGACAACGAGCGCAACCCUCGUCCUGAGUUAGAUAUGUCUCAGGAGACUGCCCCGACUUAGUCAGGGAGGAAGGAGAGACAGACGUCAAAUCAGCAUGGCCCUUAUACCCUGGGCUACACACAUGUUACAAUGAGUAAGACAACGGGUUGCUAACCGGUAACGGUAUGCCAAUCCCUUAAACUUACUCUUAGUGGGGAUUGGGGUCUGCAACUCGACCCCAUGAACGUGGAAUUGGUAGUAAUCGUGGAUCAGCUAUGCCGCGGUGAAUACGUUCUUGCCUCUUGCACACACCGCCCGUCAAGCCAACAAAGUCGUUAGUAUCCGACCUCUCGCAUAACGGGAAAAGGAUAUCAACGGCGAUGGGGGUUAAGUCGUAACAAGGUAGCCG